rnacentral:lncRNA from 1 species
ACUACCUAGUAUAGUCCCACAAAGUGGGGUCUGGGGAGGGUAAUAUGUAGACGAGCCUUUCCCCUACCCGAAAGGGCAGAGAGACUGUUUCCAAUCGACCCUCGGCGCAUAGGAAAAAGGUAAAUCAGCUGUAAAACAAAAACAAAAAAAAAACAAUAACAAUAGAGCAUUAGUAUCACCCGCAGAAAUAGCAGAAAUAGCGGAAAUAAUUAUCUAAACAUAAGGAACCUAAAUACAAUCGCAUACAAAAGAGAAAGAGCUCAGGUAAGCAGUGCUUAAUAUCAUAUCUUCACCUUUUAGGGUGUUGAUUCACUAAAACUCUUCACUCCAGGAGGAAUGUUACUGCCUUUACAUUGAAUUAGAUGCAUAGACAAGUGAAUAAUAUAAACUUGUAAAGCAUAAAAGCUUUAAACUAUCUAGCUACAUUAAACAGUAGAUACACAAUUAAUACAACAACAAUGCAAAUUAGACCACAUUCUACAAAUAUCUACUACUCAAGACUCAUAACACAAAAUUUAUUUUAGAGCUGAGCUUUCAAUAACAAUAAAAAUCCUCUCAACUUAAACAGCAGGAUACCACAAUUUCCACAACCCAAUCUUACCUCGACCUUAUUAGCAGGCCCCAAAAAAAAUCUUUCAAUUAUGGACCUGAAAAAUACCAGAAUUUCCACAACCCAAUCUUACCUCGACCUUAUUAGCAAGCCCCAAAAAAAUCUUUCAAUUAUGGACCUGAAUGACAUUCUGAGUCAUAAAUGUCCAAAGGUCAGUC